GUGUCAGCCGCCGCGGUAAUACGUAGGGGGCGAGCGUUGUCCGGAAUUAUUGGGCGUAAAGGGCGCGUAGGCGGCCUGGUAAGUUAUCUGUGAAAGUCCACAUUUCAAGUGUGGGAGUGCAGGUAAAACUGCUGGGCUUGAGUGCAGGAGAGGGAAGUGGAAUUCCAAGUGUAGCGGUGAAAUGCGUAGAGAUUUGGAGGAACACCAGUGGCGAAGGCGACUUUCUGGACUGUAACUGACGCUGAGGCGCGAAAGCGUGGGGAGCAAACAGGAUUAGAUACCCUGGUAGUCCACGCUGUAAACGAUGGAUGCUAGGUGUGGGAGGUAUCGACCCCUUCCGUGCCGCAGUUAACGCAAUAAGCAUCCCGCCUGGGGAGUACGGCCGCAAGGUUGAAACUUAAAUGAAUUGACGG
rnacentral:rRNA from 1 species